AGGUAGAGUAAGGCGUUGCUAAUUUCAUCUUUCAUUUUCACUCUAAAAUCUUAUGACAUUUUAUAUAAUUUUUGCAAGUUUGUAGCUCACUUUGAAUGAUAAUGAGGCUCUAUGCAACAUUAUUUCAUUGAUAUUUGAUUCAUGCACAUGAAUCACAUUUACUUAAUAUUGAAAUAGUUUCUAUGUUAUUUCCUUUCCUUAUUAAAGAGU
rnacentral:misc_RNA from 1 species